GUUCAAGGCAGCAUGGGUAAGAGGAGCAACAAAGUGGAAGCAAGAAAGAAUUCUCAAACUCUCACUUCAAUCCUUACCAUCAAGUCCGUAGAGAAAGAAGACAUGGCCAUUUACUACUGUGCAGGAUGGGAGAUAGCACUUGGUGGAUCAAGAAAUUUGCAAAAGGGACUAGGCUCAUAGUAACUUCACCUGAUAAACAUCUUGAUGCAGAUGUUUCCCCCAAGCCCACUAUUUUUCUUCCUUCCAUUGCUGAAACAAACCUCCACAAGGCUGGAACAUACCUUUGUCUUCUUGAGAAAUUUUUCCCGGAUGUUAUUGAGAUACAUUGGCAAGAAAAGAAGAGCAACACGAUUCUGGGAUCCCAGGAGGGGAACACCGUGAAGACUAACGACACAUACAUGAAAUUUAGCUGGUUAACGGUGCCAGAAAACUCACUGGAUAAAGAGCACAGAUGUAUCGUCAGACAUGAGAAUAAUAAAAAUGGAGUUGAUCAAGAAAUUAUCUUUCCUCCAAUAAAGACAGAUGUCAUCACAAUGGAUCCCAAAGACAAUUGUUCAAAAGAUGCAAAUGAUGUACUACUGCUGCAGCUCACAAACACCUCUGCAUAUUAUAUGUACCUCCUCCUACUUGUCAAGAGUGAGGUCUAUUUUGCCAUCAUCGCCGUCUGUCUGCUUAGAAGAACGGCUGUCUGCUGCAAUGGAGAGAGACCGUAACAGACGGUGGCACAAGGACGCCAUCUUUUCCUCAUCGGUUAUUGUCCCUAGAAGUGUCUUCUGAGGAUCUAGUUGGGCUUUCUUUCUGGGUUUGAGCUAUUUCACUUCUCAUGUGUGUACUAUUCUAUCAUUGUUGUAGAAUGGUUUUCAAACCAGUGGGCGCACGGAAAACCUCAGUCUGUGAUGACAAUGAGGAAUAGCCAUGGCAGUCUCCAGCACCACUCUCUCCAUAUUCUCCACAGCUCCUCCAGCCAACCCAAAUAGCCACUGCCAUGGUGUAGACAGUCCGCGGCUUCUAGCCUUGUCCCUCCCUUAGUGUUCUUUAAUCAGAUCUAACUGCCUGGAAGCCUUUCAUUUGACACGCCCUGAAGCAGCCUUCUUUGCUAGUUGAAUUACAUGGUGUAUUUUUCCUAACAGGCAAAAUAAAUUUAAAAUAAUGAAAAGUUGA